UACGUAGGGUGCAAGCGUUAAUCGGAAUUACUGGGCGUAAAGCGUGCGCAGGCGGUUUUGUAAGUCUGUCGUGAAAUCCCCGGGCUCAACCUGGGAAUUGCGAUGGAGACUGCAAGGCUAGAAUCUGGCAGAGGGGGGUAGAAUUCCACGUGUGAGCAGUGAAAUGCGUAGAUAUGCGGAGGAACACCGAUGGCGAAGGCAAUCCCCUGGGCCUGCACUCGACGGCUCAUGCACGAAAGCGUGGGGAGCAAACAGGA
rnacentral:rRNA from 1 species